UGUGGGUUCGUUAGUGUUCAUUGCUACCAGGUUCACAGGGUUUAUCUUGUCCAAUGCUAAUGCCAUGACUGAAGGCACACAUGAUUCAAGAUGCUUAGAUUUGGUGUAACAAAAGUAAGGUAGCAUGUUGACAUUGUGAUGAGCAAGUGAAGAAGGCAAGUGAUUGUUGAUUUACUUGAUGGCGGAUCACAAGUGCAGAAUCUUGGAAAUGGAAGUUAGCAUCAGUUGUGGGUGUUGAUGAGAGCUAGCAUUGUCCAGCUAAUUUUAAUCCUAAAAUUUAGUAGGAAAACAAGCACAAGUAUAACACAUGAUGGCAGUUAGAGGCAUUUCGGUGAGUGCUUGGAAAUGGGGCAAUUAUGGCCUAAUUAGGGACUAAAAAUGUGAGAAACUAUAAUUGUAGUUGGGUGUGUCAACUUUAAUACGAAUUUUUGUAUAAAACUUCGAAGUGUUGAGGAGUUAGAAUCGAAGAGAAGGGGUGAAAAGGUUACAAAAUGUUUUCAC
rnacentral:lncRNA from 1 species